rnacentral:rRNA from 1 species
CGGUGAAAUGCAUAGAUAUCGCGCAGAACUCCGAUUGCGAAGGCAGCGUACCGGCGCCAGACUGACGCUGAGGCACGAAAGCGUGGGGAUCGAACAGGAUUAGAUACCCUGGUAGUCCACGCAGUAAACGAUGAAUGCUGGUUGUCCGGGUCGAAUGAGACCUGGGCGGCGAAGCGAAAGCGAUAAGCAUUCCACCUGGGGAGUACGCCGGCAACGGUGAAACUCAAAGGAAUUGACGGGGGCCCGCACAAGCGGAGGAACAUGUGGUUUAAUUCGAUGAUACGCGAGGAACCUUACCCGGGCUCAAACGGGAGUGGAAUGGACCAGAGACGGUUCAGCCUACGGGCCGCUUCCGAGGUGCUGCAUGGUUGUCGUCAGCUCGUGCCGUGAGGUGUCGGCUUAAGUGCCAUAACGAGCGCAACCCCCGCCGGCAGUUGCUACGGGCAAUGCCGAGGACUCUGGCGGGACUGCCAGCGCAAGCUGCGAGGAAGGCGGGGAUGACGUCAAAUCAGCACGGCCCUUACGUCCGGGGCGACACACGUGUUACAAUGGCGGGGACAGAGGGAUGCCACCUGGCGACAGGGAGCGAAGCCCCAAACCCCGCCCCAGUUCGGAUCGGAGUCUGCAACCCGACUCCGUGAAGCUGGAUUCGCUAGUAAUCGCGCAUCAGCCAUGGCGCGGUGAAUACGUUCCCGGGCCUUGUACACACCGCCCGUCAAGCCAUGGGAGCCGGGGGCGCCUGAAGGACGUGACCGCGAGGAGCGUCCUAAGGCGAAACCGGUGACUGGGGCUAAGUCGUAACAAGGUAGCCGUACCGGAAGGUGCGGCUGGAACACCUCCUUU